rnacentral:tRNA from 1 species
GGAUUGUGGCUCAGUGGUAGAGUGCUUGCCUAGCAUGCAAGAGGCACUGGGUUUGAUCCCUGGCACCA